rnacentral:siRNA from 1 species
AUCAAACAUUGUCUGCUCCAUCA